UAGAAACAAAUUCUUUCCUUCCUCAAUCUCAGGAAAGAUUACAGUCUUAUCAAAACAGUUGAUAUAAACUCGGUUAAACACCAACCAGUUCAUACCCAAGAUAACAUCAAUCUGUACUAGUGGAAGACACACGAGGUCCAUUCCAAAGUCUCUACCAAAAAUACUCAAAGGACAAUCUAAACAAACUGAAGUAGUAGUCACUGAACCCUUCGCAGGAGUAUCAAUC
rnacentral:lncRNA from 1 species